rnacentral:lncRNA from 1 species
CUGAGUUAAACUGAGCAUCUCUCUGCUUAACUGGAGGUCUCCGGCCUUCUAUCUGCGGCAGUGGAAGAUGUUAUGCCUAUUUGGCGCCUCCCCACCACCUCGUGCUGUUCCGCCCUGAGAAGAGCUCCAGUCCCUGUCCACGAUUUUCCCUGAGGAACAUGCACAUCAUCAUCAUCAAUGAGAAGGACAGAAAAUCUUCAGGGAAACCAAGCUGGUAACAGGCUCCAGGUGAAGCCUUUAACAGGAAAAAGUUGGGGUGAAAGAUGCUCGCAGGAUGG